rnacentral:rRNA from 1 species
UACAGAGGCCUCGAGCGUUGUUCGGAAUUACGUGGGCGUAAAGAGAACGUAGGUGGUGACGUAAGUCAGAUGUGAAAGCCCUGGGCUUAACCUGGGAAGUGCAUUUGAUACUGCGUUGCUGGAGUACGAAAGAGGAAAGCGGAAUUUCCAGUGUAGGAGUGAAAUCCGUAGAUAUUGGAAGGAAUACCGAUGGCGAAGGCAGCUUUCUGGUUCGUAACUGAACACUGAGGUUCGAAAGCGUGGGUAGCAAACAGG